rnacentral:rRNA from 1 species
UACCAGCACCCCGAGUGGUCGGGACGAUUAUUGGGCCUAAAGCAUCCGUAGCCGGUCCUACAAGUCUUCCGUUAAAUCCACCUGCUUAACAGAUGGGCUGCGGAAGAUACUAUAGGGCUAGGAGGCGGGAGAGGCAAGCGGUACUCAGUGGGUAGGGGUAAAAUCCUCUGAUCCAUUGAAGACCACCAGUGGCGAAGGCGGCUUGCCAGAACGCGCUCGACGGUGAGGGAUGAAAGCUGGGGGAGCA